CCUGGAUUUCAUAUUCUCCCAUAUGGUCACCCUAUGCAGGAGGCUAAAGGAAGCACUGAAGAGAAAAUGGAUGGAGAAGAGUAAGGCUAAGAAGACAGACAGGAAACACCGGACAUAGGUCAUACAGCAUCAAGAAUGGAGAGGAUUAUGGUACUAGACAUUUUCUGAGCUGCAAAAUACAUUUCAACUAUCUGGAUGUCAGUGGUGUAGGAGUUCCUUCAGCAGAACUGGCAAUGCUCCAUGACUUUUCUACUUACUUUGCAUAAAGAACAACAGGACUGGGUGGGUGGUCAGCACAAAAGGCUCCUCACCAUGGG